rnacentral:rRNA from 1 species
GGCACAGCCGAGCGGUCGGCCUUACGGUCAGUACUGCUUGGCUGGGCCUUUCCUUCUGGCGAACCAUCUUGCUCUUAACUGGGUGGGAUGGGGAACCAGAACUUUUACUUUGAAAAAAUUAGAGUGUUUAAAGCAGGCUUAUGCUUGAAUAUAUUAGCAUGGAAUAAUAGAAUAGGACUUUGGUUCUAUUUUGUUGGUUUCUAGGACCGAAGUA